AGCCACUGGCGGCUCUCACGGGCUUUGCAUGUGCACAGCAACCUGCUGUUGUUUAGGUAGCCUAACCUGCGGCGCUUUGAGGCAACAUAGCUUUGAACUUCAGAUGGAAAAGAAACACGGCGUCAAUCCAGCCAGCACAUGCCAAUGGAUAUGAUCAAUUUGGCUUAUUCUUGCACCUUUGAAUUUUAGAGGAGGUGCUCAUUGCUACUUUGGUUUAGAAGCCACGUCACCGAAUUUUUUCUGUGUCUCCUCACGACAACCUGCUGUAGAGACCGAGAACCGUCGGGGGGAGGCGAGGACACACCCGCACCGUACCGCGUUCUUCCCCCCUCCUCCUGCGCCAGGAUCAUGCUCCCAGUGCGCCGGUAGCUGCUGCAGAACACGCCAGGACCUGGAACCUGGGAAUAUAUAUAUGAAUAUUUUGGGAUACAUUUCCAUAUGAGUUCGCGGACACCUUCGUCGCUACUGAAGGAUAUUUUCAUUUUUGGCACCGGUCCGCGUCCCGCCGUGGCCAGGUGGCGUGGCUUUGAUAAAGAAGUUUAUUUGCAG
ensembl:lncRNA